AGACCCGAAACCCGGUGAUCUAGCCAUGGGCAGGUUGAAGGUUGGGUAACACUAACUGGAGGACCGAACCGACUAAUGUUGAAAAAUUAGCGGAUGACCUGUGGCUGGGGGUGAAAGGCCAAUCAAACCGGGAGAUAGCUGGUUCUCCCCGAAAGCUAUUUAGGUAGCGCCUCGUGAAUUCAUCUCCGGGGGUAGAGCACUGUUUCGGCUAGGGGGCCAUCCCGGCUUACCAACCCGAUGCAAACUGCGAAUACCGGAGAAUGUUAUCACGGGAGACACACGGCGGGUGCUAACGUCCGUCGUGAAGAGGGAAACAACCCAGACCGCCAGCUAAGGUCCCAAAGUCAUGGUUAAGUGGGAAACGAUGUGGGAAGGCCCAGACAGCCAGGAUGUUGGCUUAGAAGCAGCCAUCAUUUAAAGAAAGCGUAAUAGCUCACUGGUCGAGUCGGCCUGCGCGGAAGAUGUAACGGGGCUAAACCAUGCACCGAAGCUGCGGCAGCGAACGUAUCACCCAAGACAACUUUACGGAGUUGACGAUUGACGGAGCGAAGCGACGUCAAAGCGUUCAUUAAAGUCGAGUUGGCUUAGGGAUACGUUCGUUGGGUAGGGGAGCGUUCUGUAAGCCUGUGAAGGUGUGUCGUGAGGCAUGCUGGAGGUAUCAGAAGUGCGAAUGCUGACAUAAGUAACGAUAAAGCGGG
rnacentral:rRNA from 1 species